rnacentral:rRNA from 1 species
UACGUAGGGUGCAAGCGUUGUCCGGAAUUAUUGGGCGUAAAGAGCUCGUAGGCGGUUUGUCGCGUCUGCCGUGAAAGUCCGGGGCUCAACUCCGGAUCUGCGGUGGGUACGGGCAGACUAGAGUGAUGUAGGGGAGACUGGAAUUCCUGGUGUAGCGGUGAAAUGCGCAGAUAUCAGGAGGAACACCGAUGGCGAAGGCAGGUCUCUGGGCAUUAACUGACGCUGAGGAGUGAAAGCAUGGGGGGCGAACAGG